AUUGAACGCUGGCGGCAUGCCUUACACAUGCAAGUCGAACGGCAGCACGGGUGCUUGCACCUGGUGGCGAGUGGCGAACGGGUGAGUAAUACAUCGGAACAUGUCCUGUAGUGGGGGAUAGCCCGGCGAAAGCCGGAUUAAUACCGCGUACGAUCUACGGAUGAAAGCGGGGGACCUUCGGGCCUCGCGCUAUAGGGUUGGCCGAUGGCUGAUUAGCUAGUUGGCGGGGUAAAGGCCUACCAAGGCGACGAUCAGUAGCUGGUCUGAGAGGACGACCAGCCACGCUGGGACUGAGACACGGCCCAGACUCCUACGGGAGGCAGCAGUGGGGAAUUUUGGACAAUGGGCGAAAGCCUGAUCCAGCAAUGCCGCGUGUGUGAAGAAGGCCUUCGGGUUGUAAAGCACUUUUGUCCGGAAAGAAAUCCUUGGCCCUAAUACGGUCGGGGGAUGACGGUACCGGAAGAAUAAGCACCGGCUAACUACGUG
rnacentral:rRNA from 1 species